UCGAUCAGAUGUUGCCAUGUGUA
rnacentral:siRNA from 1 species